rnacentral:rRNA from 1 species
AAUUUUGGACAAUGGGGGCAACCCUGAUCCAGCCAUCCCGCGUGUGCGAUGAAGGCCUUCGGGUAGUAAAGCACUUUUGGCAGGGAAGAAACGGCUCUGGCUAAUACCUGGAGCUACUGACGGCACCGGCAGAAUAAACACCGGCUAACUACGUGCCAGCAGCCGCGGGAAGACGUAGGGUGCAAGCGUUAAUCGGAAUUACUGGGCGUAAAGCGUGAGCAGGCGGUUUGGCAAGAAGGAUGUGAAAUCCCAGGGCUUAACCUUGGAACUGCAUUCUUAACUGCCAGGCUAGAGUAUGUCAGAGGGGGGUAGAAUUCCACGUGUGGCAGUGAAAUGCGUAGAGAUGUGGAGGAAUACCGAUGGCGAAGGCAGCCCCCUGGGAUAAUACUGACGCGCAGACACGAAAGCGUGGGGAGCAAACAGG